UUCAUCAUUAAGUUAAUGACAACUCACCAUCCACUCUCUCUCAAGCUCUCUCACUCUAGGAUAUCCUCCCAAGCCCCCUUAGCCUCAGCAAAUACCAGAAAAUCGCACAACCCUAUCUCAGCCCGGUUACAAGGCCAUUUCGCCCGAAAACUCAACCGUUUUCCGGCGACCGCCACUCAACCCGAACCAAACUUGACCAAACUUUAGACCCCCCAUGUUUUCGACCUUCUAAAUCCAUUUCCGGAGUUAGUUUUAGCAUUUGAGGCCUCCAGCACAUCGUUUCAGCAGACAAUAGAAACAGUGCGGAACCGUGCCUCUUGGGUUCAUCCUGGGUCCUAGACGUGUCAUUCGUUCCCACAACCAUGGCGAGUCAUGCCCACAUGUUCUAAGGGUCCCCUCAUGAUCCUCACUCUCCCCAUGACAAGUCGUGUGCACGCCACGAGCUAGUCACGAACACUUCAAGAAGCCCCCUUAGGAGUCGGAGGAGCCCGAGCCACCAUGCCGACCCACUUUCUUCUUGGCUGCCGCUGUUGCUUGCUUUUGGGUGCUCUCUGCACUUUCUUUCCAGCCGGGUCUAGCGACCCUCUUGCCACUUCUCCGACUCUUUCCUCGUAUUUCGAGGCUAGUUAUAACCCCUCUACGACUUAGGGAAGCUAGAUCUUCGAUACUUGGUUGUCGUGGGGUGAUAAGGUGAUUUUGUGCCGUUUUGUAUGCAAGUUUGUAUCUUCAGACGUUUUCAUGCACUUUAUUCCAUAUUACGUACGGUUUAUCAUUAUCAUGAUGAGAAAUGGUGUGAUUCGAGGUCAUGGAUGAAGGCCAGCAAAAAAAAAGCGUAUCAGAGCAGAAAAAUCAGUUAAGAGACACGGAGAUCGACGUAGAGAUGGAGGAGACUUAGCUUCGGAGGCGAUCAUCAACUCGACGGCAACGGGCACCAGCAUGGGAGCGAGAGUUUGGGCAGCAAUGUGAAGAAGCACAGCAGCAAAUAAAAGCAGCAAGGGAGGUGAUGAAGAGGAGAAGGACCCAAGGGUGCUGGUGGUGGUGAUUCAAGAAGAGGCUAUGGACGUGAGGAAAGAGAGGAGGUGGCUGAGAGGGGGAAGGUCAUAAUGGUGAUGGUGCUGGUCUCGACCAAGUGACCCCACCCCAAGCAGCAACUGAAAGCCCGUGGAAGAAGAAGGGAUCGUCAUGUUUAGCUAGCUGGUUAGGAUGGAUAUGGCUGGUCGUGAGAUGUCCAGAAUGAGAGAGAUUGAGGGAAUGCGAGAGAGAGAGAGAGAGAGAGAGAGAGAGAGAGAGAGAGAGAGAGAGAGAGAGAGGAUGGGAAGAGAAUGGGAAUGGACCUGAGAGUGAAAAAUGAGAGUUGUCCCGAAGAUGAGAGUGAGAGCUCGAGGUGAAGUUUGGAGAGAGCCCAGCUGAGGGAGUCAUGUUAUUCCCCUGAGGGAGUGAGCUGGUCAAGAGAGGGAGUGUGAGCUGGGAGAAAUCCGGUUGGUUUGAGCUGAGGGCGAAUCACGUGCCCGAGCUGAGGGAGAUUCCGGUGUCAGCUGGGGGAAUCCUCUUGUCCCCGUCUGUUCUCCCUGUUUUUUUUUUUUUUUUCAUUUUUCCCUUACUGUUCAGUUUGUUUCAGAGCGAGAGAGAUCGGUCAGAGCUGAGCUGAAAGGCUCGGGCUGGGAAAAAGCAAAAAAGAGAAUCUGAUCAGAUUGAAUCACAGAAAUAGGGCUUGCAUGGGAGGUAGCGGCCGAAAGAACCGAAAAGGGUUGACAGAGAGGAGGAAAGGAGGAAGAAAGAUGGCUUUUUACGUUGCAGAAGACAGGCUGAAAUGGAAAAGGAAAGAAAGCAGAAGAGGGUUGCAGAGAAAGCGAAAGGAGAAAGAAAAAGAAAAGGGAAGGGCGGGUAGGAAGAAAAGAGGAAAGGCAACGCAAAAAGAAGAAAGUAGCGGUCAAACAUGUGAACCCACUUUAUUAUUUCCUUCUUUUCGUUUGUUUUAUUAUCAUCAUCAAUAUUUUUUUACUCGUGCGAGCAUUUUUCACUAAAUUCAAUUUCUUAGGAUCCGUUGACGUUUUCGGGAUCAAAAUUUCGAAAUUUCAAAAUUCGAGAAAUAGUCCACUCUUUGAGGAUUUCAAUUUGUAUCCAUGGAGACCGAAUCUCGAGAAAAUCAAUAUUGAACUUCUGACACACGUUGAUUGUAA